UAGAUUAGGCAUAGGCGACCUUUGGCCCUCCAGAUGUUUUGGCCUACAACUCCCAUGAUCCCUAGCUAACAGGACCAGUAGUCAGGGAUGAUGGGAAUUGUAGUCCAAUACAUCUGGAGGGACGAAGGUUGCCUAUGCCUGCUUUA